rnacentral:misc_RNA from 1 species
AUUGAUAAGGCAUAUCUCUAGGACCGCUAAAUCCUUCCUUACCCAUUUCUUCCUCAUUUGCUAUGUCUUCCAAAAAAGGCGGAGUUUCACUACCGGAUCGUCCCGGUGCUGGCGCCGGAGCCGGAGAUGGUAUCCUUUCUAGGUUUUCAUCAUCCAUAUCUGAAUCACCGAUUGUGUACCAAGGGAAGCGAGCCGCUUCCGAUGUCGCAUUUGUAGCCAAGAAACUUUUCAAGAGUACCGGAAAAGCCGCCUGGAUCGCCGGAACUACCUUUCUGAUACUCGUUGUUCCGUUAAUUAUCGAGAUGGAUCGCGAUGCGCAGCUCACUGAGCUCGAGAUGCAACAAGCUAGCUUGUUGGGAGCACCUCCUCCUGCAGGAGCAAAGUGAGGAUUUUGAUUUCGUUUUUUUUUUCUGUCUUUAGGUAAGAGAAUUCAGGGAUAUUGAUUACUUUUUUUACUGUUUUAGAAACCUUGCAAUAAGACUAUGCUAUGGAAUUUUCUAAUUUAGGGUUUUGAAACCCAAUCCGUAUAAUGUGCUC